CACGGGGGUUGCAAGCGUUGUCCGGAAUUACUAGGCGUAAAGGGCAGGUAGGCGGAUAGAUAAGUUUGAUGUUUAAGGCAGCGGCUCACCCGCUGUAAGGCAUCAGAUACUGUUUAUCUGGAAUACGGUUGGGGAAGACAGAAUUCCUGGUGUAGCGGUGGAAUGCGCAGAGAUCAGGAGGAAUACCGAAGGCGAAGGCAGUCUUCUAAGCCGUUAUUGACGCUAAACUGCGAAGGUGUGGGUAUCAAACAGGAUUAGAUACCCUGGUAGUCCACACAGUAAACGAUAAUCACUAGGUGUUGGGUUCGAAGAGGAUUCGGUGCCGUAGCUAACGCGAUAAGUGAUUCGCCUGGGGAGUACGAUCGCAAGGUUGAA
rnacentral:rRNA from 1 species